rnacentral:snRNA from 1 species
AAGUGUUACAGCUCUUGUAGAAUUUGUCUAGCAGGUUUUCUGGUUCCCACCAGAAAAAUUCCUAA